rnacentral:rRNA from 1 species
CCUACGGGAGGCAGCAGUGGGGAAUAUUGGGCAAUGGAGGCAACUCUGACCCAGCAACGCCGCGUGAAUGAUGAAGGUCUUCGGAUUGUAAAGUUCUGUGAUGGGGGAUGAACACAAUGACGGUACCCCAAUAGCAAGCCACGGCUAACUACGGGCCAGCAGCCGCGGUAAUAGGUAGGUGGCAAGCGUUAUCCGGAAUGACUGGGCGGAAAGGGCGUGUAGGUGGUUUAGUAAGUUGUCGGUGUAAUUCCGGGGCUCAACCGCGGCGCUACCGCCAAAACUAUUAGACUAGAGUGCAGGAGGGGUAAGUGGAAUUCCUAGUGUAGCGGUGGAAUGCGUAGAGAUUAGGAGGAACAUCAGGGGCGAAGGCGACUUACUGGACUGUAACUGACACUGAGGCACGAAAGCGUGGGGAGCAAACAGGAUUAGAUACCCGUGUAGUC